UGAAAAGGAAAAAGUUAAACAAUCAAGUGAGCACAGUAAAGAAGAAAAAAUGUGUUUCUUUUUCCAAAUCUGGAAAACGAUCCGGAUUUACUUAAUUUUUCAUAUUCCUCAGAAGGAGAGGAUGUUAGUGGAACAGAAGAGGAAGUUGAACAUACUUUAGGUAAAAGAAAAGAAGUUAUUAAAGGUCAAAGCAAUGAUAAGACUAUGAGUGAAACGGUUAACGAUUCUAUAUCGGAUGGAAAAGUUAAA